rnacentral:rRNA from 1 species
AGUCACUGACAUUAGAUACCCGUGUAGUCCAGGGUGUAAACGCUGCAGACUUGGUGUUGGGGGCCCUUUGGGGGCAUUCAGUGCCGGAGAGAAGUUGUUAAGUCUGCUACUUGGGAGUACGUCCGCAAGGAUGAAACCUUAAAGGAAUUGGCGGGGGAGCACCGCAACGGGAGGAGCGUGCGGUUUAAUUGGAUUCAACACCGUAAACUCACCAGGGAAGACUGUUACAUGAAGGCCGAGAUGAAGACUCUGCUAGAUUUUCAG